rnacentral:rRNA from 1 species
AGGAGUUUGAUCCUGGCUCAGAACGAACGCUGGCGGCGUGGUUUAGGCAUGCAAGUCGAACGAGAAAGUAACCUUCGGGUUGCGAUUAAAGUGGCGAACGGGUGAGUAACAGGUGGGCAACGUGCCCCAAAGUGGGGGAUAACUCCGAGAAAUCGGAGCUAAUACCGCAUACGGCCUUUUUAGCUUUGGCUGGAAAGGUUAAAGGCUUCGGUCGCUUUGGGAUCGGCCCGCCCCCGAUUAGCUUGAUGGUGAGGUAACGGCUCACCAUGGCGACAAUCGGUAGCUGGUCUGAGAGGAUGGUCAGCCACACUGGGACUGAGAUACGGCCCAGACUCCUACGGGGGGCAGCAGUCUAGAGGCUUCGGCAAUGGGGGAAACCCUGACCGAGCGACGCCGCGUGCGGGAUUGAAGGUGUUAUCAUCGUAAACCGCUUUUCUAGGGGAGGAAUGCCCUGAUGGUGAAUCAGGGAGAGACGUUACCCUGGGAAUAAGCCCCGGCUAACUACGUGCCAGCAGCCGCGGUAAUACGUAGGGGGCGAGCGUUGUUCGGAUUUACUGGGCGUAAAGAGAGCGUAGGCGGCUGGUCAAGUCCGGUGUGAAAUCUUUACCGCUUAACGGAAAGAGGUCACCGGAAACUGCCCGGCUAGAGUAAGGUAGAGGCAAGCGGAAUUCCUGGUGUAGCGGUGGAAUGUGUAGAUAU